CCUCCCCUCACAGCGCUCCCGUAGCUCCGGCGCGCGGGACGUUCGGUUGUGGCAGCGAUGGCGGAGCGGCGGCGAAGGGCGGCGAACGUGCUGGGCGAGCUCCUGCGGCGAAUAUGUGAAGAGGGAAGGGAGAGUGUCCCUGAACGUCCAUAUCUCUACGAGACUGAUGUGGAGAUCUGUUUGGUUGGUGGCAGUUGCAAAAGUCCUGUCGAAAGAUUUUGGAAUGGGAGCAGCACAAUGUAUAUUUUGCAGAAGGCAACACACCAUGAAGAAGGUGACUCCAUGGAAGAAUCAAAACCAGAUGAAGCUCUUUUUCCCUCUGAGCUUUUGCCAAAGGAGAGUCCUGGACCAGCAGCUCUUUCUGUGGGAAGAGCAAAGCAGUUGGUUUCCUUAUAUGCAAUGGUGCAAAAUCCAAACGUGACCCACCUGGGAAUAAGGGACCUGGUGCUUCCUCCCCUCUGGAUCAGGUGUGAUGGUUCUGAUCCUGAACACACCUGUUGGAUUGGAGCUGAGCCUCUCAGAGCUGGAAAGAAGAUCACAGGGAUCACGAUUUACAUGGUGUCAUGUGAUGGUCCUACAGCUGACAAAACCUGUUUUGCAAACCUGGAAGAGCUCAAAAUGGAACAUAAAAGAAGACAUCAUUCAUCUGUGGUGACAACAAAAGGAUUUGCUCAGUAUGAACUGAUCCAAGUUGCUGCAAUGGAGGACACCAUUGUAGAAUCUGGAGGCAAUAUCUAUGUUGAUAUUACCUGGAAUAUUGUUGACAAGAUUCUGGAGACUCCCCCACUGAUUUCAGCUGCCACUCUGAACAUUGCCCUGGAGUCAGGGGAUCCCAGGAGUCCUGUGUACCAGGUGUAUCGGGAGCUGCAGCUUCUCCUGGCUUUGGCUGAAGGUUUGAAGACGGGUGUGACUGAGUGGCCUGAGCCUCUGGAGUCUGAAUCAGCUGUUGAACUGGUCCAGGAAUUCCUGACUGAUUUAAAGAAGAAGCUGGAUGGAGACUGUGGGUCUGGGAGCAAGGAUGAAACACAGAAAAUCCAAUGUGACACGGCUGCAGUGGACAGUUACAUCAAAUCCAUCUUCAGUGAGAGAGGAGACCUGGAUUUUGCUGAACAAUUAUGGUGCAAAAUGAGAAGUGUCAGUUCCUACCAGGAGCUGAUAGACUGUUUCACACGGGUCAUAAAAUCCCUGGAACGUGGUGAGAUCCAGCCCUGGAUUCAUCAGGGGAGCAGCAGCUUCCUGCGGAAGUUGAUCCAGCAGUCCUACCAUGGGAAGAUGGAGGUGGUUUCCCUCAGUGGCAUCACUCCCAUCCAGAUGCUCUUUGAGAUUGGCUUGGAUAAGCUGAAGAAGGAUUAUGUCAGUUUUUUCAUAGGUCAGGAACUUGCAACAUUAACCUACUUGGAUUACUUCACUUCCACAUCAGUGGAUCUACAGGAACAAGUUCAUCGUGUUCAAAAGCUCCACCAUAUGCUGGAAAUAAUGGUCAACUGCAGAGUCUUACUCCAGUUCAGACAUGAGAACCUCUUCCCUUUGACUCAGAUUUGCAUGAAGUAUUACAAGGAAAACCCUCUCAACGAGAAACAUGUGUUUCAGCUGCCCAUCAGACCAGCUCUUGUGAAGAAAUUCUACCAAAAUGAACACCCUGAGUUAUGGAAGGUGGAGAUAAGCAGUGGGCACGGAGCAAAGGAGGUGAAAACAAUGUGGCAACUCAGUGCUAAUCCUCCUGUGGAACAUGUGGCAUCAAACAAUUCAGGUCUCUUCUCUGACUCCACAGUGAAUGGGAGCCCUGAAGAAAGGCUGUAUUUUAUCACAGUGACCAAGUGCAGUCAGGUGCAUUUCACAUAAAUCCAGAGGAAUUCUUUAGGGUGAUGUCUGUGGAAAAACCAGCUCUCCAGUCUGGAGGUUCAGCUCAAGCUCUUCAUUCUUUUAGUUCUAACCUCUUAUCUCCAGAUGUACACCAGGCCUGGGUCACCCCUAACAGAAGAUACCCUAAAACUGAGAAAAACAGGAAAUUUUGGGAGUAAGUGAAAUGAGGCUGCCUUGGUGCCCACCUCUGCUGGCCUCCCACUGUGGGAACACCAGUCUUGUAUCCUGGGAAUUCUGUGGGCAGCUUCUGAAGCCAGUCUCCAUGGGAAGAAAACCUCCAGAGUGUGGAAGAUCUUGUGUUUGAAUCCUGAGCUUGUGAUCCCUGAGAUCCCUGAGAUGAGCUGGAGAUGGCUCCAUGCUAAGGGUGGGCCUGCAUUUGAUGGGAGCCCAGCAAGCUGCUGCAGGCUACCCCUGAUUGGAAUUCCCUUGGAUUGGCCUAAUUGCAGGCUCUGCCAUCAUCUGUUUGCAAUCACAAAGAGGAAGCUUCUGAAGCUUGGGAAUGAGAGAAAAUGAAGUGUCCUGACACAACUUCAAAACAUCCAGAAUGCUCUUGGAGGUUUUCCCAUCGCUGUUUCUGUCAGAUCUCCUCUGAAAACAGUCUCACUGAAGGGAGGUUCAGAUCAGCAACACGGACCAGAAGAGUGUCCAGAGACCAGAACAGCAGUAGCAGUUGGCCUUGAGGAUGAAUUCCAGCCACAGUCCCAUCCCAUGGCUGAUCCAGGAUGCUUGGGAAGCAGGCACAUGGUGGCCUCCAUGGAUGGCAACCAGCAGCAAACCCGCAGGGAUCCAGCACAACAACAAAAUCCGAAGAUCAGUUUUGACAGAGUAAAAUACUACAAAUUACACUGUCAGAUGACCUCAUCACCCAGGGCUGGCACGCUGGAUUGCAACAUUGCUGGAAGGAAAAGCAGGAGCACUACAGGAAUCUCUGCUCCAUG